rnacentral:tRNA from 1 species
GCCGUGGCUCAGUAAGAGAGCAUCUGCUCAGCAUGUGGAAGGUCACCGGUUCGAUCCUGGGCAGCAGCA